rnacentral:rRNA from 1 species
GUGUCAGCCGCCGCGGUAAUACGGAGGGCGCAAGCGUUGUCCGGAAUCACUGGGUGUAAAGGGUGUGUAGGCGGGACAGUAAGUCGGUGGUGAAAGCCCGCGGCUUAACCGUGGAAUUGCCUCCGAUACUGCUGUCCUUGAGUCCUGGAGAGGCUACUGGAAUUCGUGGUGUAGCGGUGAAAUGCGUAGAUAUCACGAGGAACACCAGAGGCGAAGGCGGGUAGCUGGACAGGUACUGACGCUGAGGCACGAAAGCGUGGGGAGCAAACAGGAUUAGAUACCCUGGUAGUCCACGCCCUAAACGAUGAAUGCUCGGUGUUGCCCCGUCAGGGGCAGUGCCUAAGCUAACGCGUUAAGCAUUCCACCUGGGGAGUACGCUCGCAAGGGUGAAACUUAAAUGAAUUGACGGGG